CCUACGGGAGGCAGCAGUAGGGAAUAUUGCUCAAUGGGGGAAACCCUGAAGCAGCAACGCCGCGUGGAGGCUGAAGGUUUUCGGAUUGUAAACUCCUUUUGUUAGAGAAGAUAAUGACGGUAUCUAACGAAUAAGCACCGGCUAACUCCGUGCCAGCAGCCGCGGUAAUACGGAGGGUGCAAGCGUUACUCGGAAUUACUGGGCGUAAAGGGGGUAUAGGCGGGUUAGUAAGUCAGAUGUGAAAGACUGUGGCUUAACCAUAGAAUUGCAUUUGAAACUGGUAUUCUAGAGUAUGGGAGAGGUAGGUGGAAUUCUUGGUGUAGGGGUAAAAUCCGUAGAGAUCAAGAGGAGUACUCAUUGCGAAGGCGACCUACUAGAACAUAACUGACGCUGAUGCGCGAAAGCGUGGGGAGCAAACAGGAUUAGAUACCCCAGUAGUC
rnacentral:rRNA from 1 species